rnacentral:rRNA from 1 species
CCUACGGGUGGCAGCAGUGAGGAAUUUUGGUCAAUGGUCGGGAGACUGAACCAGCCAAGCCGCGUGAGGGAGGAAGGUACAGAGUAUCGUAAACCUCUUUUGUCAGGGAACAAAGGCGGGGACGUGUCCCCGGAUGAGUGUACCUGAAGAAAAAGCAUCGGCUAACCCCGUGCCAGCAGCCGCGGUAAUACGGAGGAUGCGAGCGUUAGCCGGAUUUAUUGGGUUUAACGGGUGCGCAGGCGGUCUGUUAAGUCAGCGGUAAAAGCCCGGGGCUCAACCCCGGCCCGCCGUUGAAACUGGCAGUCUCGAGUUGGAGAGAAGUAUGCGGAAUGCGCGGUGUAGCGGUGAAAUGCAUAGAUAUCGCGCAGAACUCCGAUUGCGAAGGCAGCAUGCCGGCUCCACACUGACGCUGAGGCACGAAAGCGUGGGUAUCGAACAGGAUUAGAUACCCCUGUAGUC